rnacentral:rRNA from 1 species
CCCUUAGAUGAUUUGGGCUGCACGCGCGCUACACUGACCCGAACAAUGAGCAACUGUCUGGCCUGAGAUGGCUGGGUAGCCUUUUCAACCCAUGUCAUGAUUGGGCUAGAUUUUUGUAAGUCUUGAUCUCUAACGAGGAAUCCCUAGUAUGCGUGAAUCAUCAAUCCAUGCAGAUUAUGUCCCUGCCCUUUGUACACACCACCCGUCGCUCCUACUGAUUGGGUGAUCCGGUGAGCUGUUCGGCCAUAGCAAUGUUUCUUGAGCAGGGCAAUGAAUGUUUCGCAAACCUUGCCACUUAGAGGAAGGAGAAGUCGUAACA